ACGGGAGGCAGCAGUAGGGAAUCUUCGGCAAUGGACGAAAGUCUGACCGAGCAACGCCGCGUGAGUGAAGAAGGUUUUCGGAUCGUAAAACUCUGUUGUUAGAGAAGAACAAGGAUGAGAGUAACUGUUCAUCCCUUGACGGUAUCUAACCAGAAAGCCACGGCUAACUACGUGCCAGCAGCCGCGGUAAUACGUAGGUGGCAAGCGUUGUCCGGAUUUAUUGGGCGUAAAGCGAGCGCAGGCGGUUUCUUAAGUCUGAUGUGAAAGCCCCCGGCUCAACCGGGGAGGGUCAUUGGAAACUGGGAGACUUGAGUGCAGAAGAGGAGAGUGGAAUUCCAUGUGUAGCGGUGAAAUGCGUAGAUAUAUGGAGGAACACCAGUGGCGAAGGCGGCUCUCUGGUCUGUAACUGACGCUGAGGCUCGAAAGCGUGGGGAG
rnacentral:rRNA from 1 species